rnacentral:rRNA from 1 species
CCUANGGGUGGCAGCAGUCGAGAGGCUUUGGCAAUGGGGGAAACCCUGACCAAGCGACGCCGCGUGGAGGAUGAAGGCCCUUGGGUUGUAAACUCCUUUUGCCGGGGAAGAAAUGCGACCAGGUGAACAAUCUGGUCGUUUGACGGUACCCGGCGAAUAAGCUCCGGCUAACUCCGUGCCAGCAGCCGCGGUAACACGGGGGGAGCAAGCGUUGUUCGGAAUCACUGGGCGUAAAGGGCGUGUAGGCGGUCAAGUAAGUGGAAUGUGAAAUACCCCGGCUUACCCGGGGAACUGCAUCCCAAACUGCUUGGCUCGAGUAUGGGAGAGGAUGAGGGAAGUCCUGGUGUAGCGGUGAAAUGCGUAGAUAUCAGGAGGAACACCGGUGGCGAAAGCGCUCAUCUGGCCCAAUACUGACGCUGAGGCGCGAAAGCUAGGGGAGCAAACGGGAUUAGAUACCCCGNUANUC